rnacentral:lncRNA from 1 species
CUUCAUGUCACCUUCUUGAGACUCAGUGAGUUGACUUCAGGGCUAAGCUGUUCUCACUGCAAUUCAGAAGCCUACCCGAACACUUUCUGGUGGACAGUGAACUCAAGGCAGCUGCGCAACCCACGAUGGGCUGCAAAAAGCCUGUCUGGGGCUUUGGUCACUUUUCAUUCUUCCAUCCCUGGAAUGGCUUCAGGACGCUGGGAAUGCCACUCGCAUUUCAAUUCUUCUUGGGUCUCUGAAAUCUGCAUAAACAAAAGAAAAAGGGAUAGAGGUGUUGCUUCUCGAAAGACAUCAACUCUUCCGAGUUCCUCCUCGUCCCACUUCUCUUUCUCCGUGACUACGGUAGCUCCCCCUGCUGGCCUGGGUGUGAAGAGGAUUGCAACUUACAUCUGGGCAUUGGCUGUCGCUGGACUGAUUUUGCUGCUGACCAUCCUUGGAAUGUGUUUGUGUUUAUGGAAGAGAAAGUCAAGAGGCAGAAAAAAUUGUUCUAUGAAAGAUCCUUUCAGAAGGAAUGAAGAAAUAAGUGAAAGAGAAAACCUGGAUGAGGU